rnacentral:lncRNA from 1 species
AUGAAAACGGGGAUUUUCAGUAAAUCGGUUCCAGUACAUCUCUGCUGCUCUUGUGGGCGCCCUCUUUUGAGCACCGGAGGAAUGAGCACCGUUCUUCAUUCUUUUGGUUUUGUAAAGUUGUAGAGCUGCGUUCCUACCUCACUGGCUUUGAGCACAACCCAGGAAGAAGUUUGAAACCAAGAAAAUGGUGAUUGGGAAGACCAGGAUGCGCAAUGGCAAAGUGAGAUCCUGGUUAUCUCUUUUUCUUCUAGCAUUUGUUUCCCUAAGUGGAAUACGAGAUUUACUGCAUUUUUUUGGUGAAUGAUAUGAAAUAGAAGACAGAUGUUCAUGACUGGAGGGCUUAUUGAGAAUUAUGUUAAGCUUGCUGACAACUCUGGAAUACACAGUAGGCACCCAAUACAUACAAGGGAGUAAAUGAAUGAAUUAAAGCUGUCUGUAUCUGCUGAUCGUCCACAAUUUAGACGUCCUAUACUACAUUCCAAUUGAGGGUAAGCGGGGUACGUGUCCUGAAUUUGUAGAAUCUUUUGACACAAAGCAACAGAGCCACAGUCAAGACUCAAGUCAAAAGAAAUUUAGACCCCAUCUGGGCAAACAGGCCUCUAAGCAACAAUCUAAGAUUUCCACCUAUUGUUCUGGCAUUCCUUGUAUAAAUGAUUAUGACUGCAGAGAUCUUAGGAAGUGCUGUGGUACCUUUAGAUGUGGCCUGAGGUGCAUACAUCCUCUUAUGAUUGACCCUGUAUUGUUCAAUUCACCUCCACAAUCCAAGG